AUACUCUGGUUUCUCUUCAGAUCAUAUAAAUCUUUUGCCUUUUACUAAAGAUUUCCAUGGGGAAGGAAAGGGGCAGAGGAGAAAAGAG
rnacentral:snRNA from 1 species